GUGCCAGCAGCCGCGGUAAUACGUAGGGCCCAAGCGUUGUCCGGAAUUAUUGGGCGUUUAGCGCGCGCAGGCGGUCCCUUAAGUCUGAUGUGAAAUCUCGUGGCUCAACCGCGAGCGGUCAUUGGAAACUGGGAGACUUGAGUACAGAAGAGCAGAGUGGAAUUCCACGUGUAGCGGUGAAAUGCGUAGAGAUGUGGAGGAACACCAGUGGCGAAGGCGACUCUCUGGUCUGUCACUGACGCUGAGGUGCGAAAGCGUGGGUAGCGAACAGGAUUAGAAACCCUGGUAGUCC
rnacentral:rRNA from 1 species